rnacentral:tRNA from 1 species
UGGCCCCUCGUCCAACGGCAGGACACCAGACUUUGGAUCUGGGUAUGGUGGUUCGAAUCCACCGGGGCCAAUCA